ensembl:processed_transcript Mrln myoregulin
CUGUUUGCUGGACUACUGUGGAGUCCAAUUAAACCUUCUAUCUGCUUUGACGCAGGAACCAACGUUGCUAGGAGAACACCUGUGCCCCAGCACUUUGGUCCAGCAAGGGCAGGAGAGGAGAGCUGGAAACUGGUAGAGCUGUGCUACCUGCUACCUCCUGAGGCUCUCAGGGAGCAGGAGAAUCUGAACAUGAGUGGCAAGAGCUGGGUACUGAUCUCUACUACUUCGCCCCAGAGCCUGGAAGAUGAGAUUCUGGGACGGCUUCUGAAAAUUCUCUUCGUUUUGUUCGUUGACUUAAUGUCCAUUAUGUAUGUCGUCAUAACGUCCUAGCAACCUGACUUUCUUUACUCCGUGUGUAAGUUUCAAACCAAAUGCGAGCAAAUAAAGAUCUACAUUUUAAUCUG